UACGUAGGGAGCAAGCGUUGUUCGGAUUUACUGGGCGUAAAGGGCGCGUAGGCGGCAAAUUAAGUCAGCUGUGAAAUCUCCGAGCUUAACUCGGAACGGUCAGCUGAUACUGAUCUGCUAGAGUGCGGAAGGGGCAAUCGGAAUUCUUGGUGUAGCGGUGAAAUGCGUAGAUAUCAAGAGGAACCCCUGAGGUGAAGACGGGUUGCUGGGCCGACACUGACGCUGAGUGCGCGAAAGCCAGGGGAGCAAACGGG
rnacentral:rRNA from 1 species